GAUGGAAGAUAUGACACCGUGUGCACAUUGAUCCAGAUGAUGCCAAACUACAAGGAUCUCAAGCCCACUAAAGUCAUUGGAAGGAUUGUUGCUCAUGAAAUGUCACUCAAGUACAAAGAUGAGUUGCAAAACAAGUCAAGCGGUGCUUACAAAGCUUCAAGUGAUACUGCUGCUAGCUGAAAUGACAACCUUAUUACCAAUGAAGAGAUCAG
rnacentral:lncRNA from 1 species